UACGAGGGGGGCGAGCGUUGUUCGGAAUUAUUGGGCGUAAAGGGUGCGUAGGCGGUUUGGUAAGUCUGAUGUGAAAUCUAUGGGCUCAACUCAUAGUCUGCAUCGGAAACUGCCGGGCUUGAGUGUGGGAGAGGUGAGUGGAAUUCCUGGUGUAGCGGUGAAAUGCGUAGAUAUCAGGAGGAACACCGAUGGCGAAGGCAGGUCUCUGGGCAUUAACUGACGCUGAGGAGCGAAAGCAUGGGGAGCGAACAGG
rnacentral:rRNA from 1 species